rnacentral:rRNA from 1 species
AAUGAACGUUGGCGGCGUGGAUUAGGCAUGCAAGUCGAGCGAGAACCGUAGCAAUACGGGGACAGCGGCGCAAGGGACAGUAAUGUGUAGAUCAUCUGCCCUCAGGACCGGGAUAGCUGCGGGAAACUGCAGGUAAUACCGGAUAACAUCUCCGGAUCAAAGGUGUGAUUCCGCCUGAGGAUGAGUCUACAUCCUAUUAGCUAGUUGGUAGGGUAACGGCCUACCAAGGCGAUGAUGGGUAGCGGGUGUGAGAGCACGACCCGCGUCAUUGGGACUGAGACACUGCCCAGACACCUACGGGUGGCUGCAGUCGAGAAUCUUCGGCAAUGGGCGCAAGCCUGACCGAGCGACGCCGCGUGUGGGAUGAAGGCCUUCGGGUUGUAAACCACUGUUAGGGGGAUGAAAUGCAGGUGGGUUCUCCCAUUUGUUUGACAUAACCUCAGAGGAAGGACGGGCUAAGUUCGUGCCAGCAGCCGCCGCAGUAA